GCACAUGAAUAUACCAUUAAUGCAAUGGAUCCCAUCAGAACUCCACAGUUAAGCAUUCUUGGACUAGAUUAGUACUAGGAUGGGUGACCUCUCGAGAAGUCCUAGUGUUUUACAUGCC
rfam:Picea glauca, whole genome shotgun sequence.